rnacentral:rRNA from 1 species
CCCUUAGAUGUUCUGGGCCGCACGCGCGCUACACUGAUGCAUUCAACAAGCCUAGCCUUGACCGAGAGGUCCGGGUAAUCUUUGAAACUGCAUCGUGAUGGGGCUAGAUUAUUGCAAUUAUUAAUCUUCAACGAGGAAUGCCUAGUAAGCGUGAUUCAUCAAAUCGCGUUGAUUACGUCCCUGCCCUUUGUACACACCGCCCGUCGCUGCCCGGGACUGAGCCGUUUCGAGAAAAGCGGGGACUGCUGCUGUCGGGGCUUUCGGGCCUUGGCUUCGGUGGAAACCGCUUUAAUCGCAGUGGCUUGAACCGGGCAAAAGUCGUANCA